UUAUAAUAAAUUUUUUGUUCACUUAUUUUCUCACUGAAAAAUAAUGCUUUGGCCUUUUAUGUCACUUGUUUGGUUGACUGUAUAUUAACUCAUUGUAGUUAUCUUUUGAUGUGUUGAUUGGCAGCUUUUAUUAUGAAGCUAAGCUUCUAGACACACAUCUGAUCUGGUAGUUAUUUGUAUGAGUUGACAAGACAUUCGACAUGAAGCUAUUAGAAUACACAUCGUUCGACUGUGUAAAUGUGUUCUUAAAUGAACCAAACCUUUGUGAAUGUACAAUCAGGGGGAGCCUUGAUGCCUUCUCAUGUAAGAGUAAGAUCCACAAAAUUUUGAUAACUUGAGUCCAUUACAUCAUGACAAUAGGGUGAAGCUCCACUUUAAUUUGCAGGCAAAGCAUGCAGGAAAUGAUUGUUGGCUUUCAAUAAGCUUUGAAUAUGAGGUACAUACUUUCCAUAAGCCUAUGAUUUACAACAACUGCUUUUCUUUUAGCGCUGAUGUUGAUAAGUAGGCAUUGACGUGUUAGUUAUAUAUAGUUCGUAUUGCCAAAUAUGUAGUUCAUGAACUGUUCUCAUUGACGUGAUAUUUCGAGUUCUAGUUGACAUAUCUUGGAUACAGUUAUACGAAACGAGGAAUUAUAGGGUGCGUCGCAAAACAAAUGUUUAAUAUAUCCAAAACAACAAAACAACAAAAA